UAAAGAGUUCUAUAACUCCCAAACCCAUGUGAACAUACCUAACGUUGCCUCGGCAGGUCGCACCUACCUUGUAGCACCCUACCCUGUAGGGCCUACCCGGGAGGUGCGGGUAAGCCUGCCGGCGGCCCACCAAACUCUGUUUGAUAUUGAAUUCUGAACCUAUAACUAAAUAAGUUAAAACUUUCAACAACGGAUCUCUUGGUUCUGGCAUCGAUGAAGAACGCAGCGAAAUGCGAUAAGUAAUGUGAAUUGCAGAAUUCAGUGAAUCAUCGAAUCUUUGAACGCAUAUUGCGCCCAUUAGUAUUCUAGUGGGCAGGACCGUUCGAGCGUCAUUUCAACCCUUAAGCCUUCGUUGCUUAGUGUUGGGAGCCUACGGCAACGUAGCUCCUCAAAGUUAGUGGCGGAGUUGGUUCACACUCUAGACGUAGUAAUUUUUUAUCUCGCCUAUUAGUUGGACUAAUCCCCUGCCGUAAAACCCCCAAUUUAUCAAGGUUGACCUCGAAUCGGUUCAGACAAACUCGCUAAAUUGAAGCAUCUUAGUCAGCGAAGGAAAAGAAACCAACAGGGAUUGCCCUAGUAACGGCGAGUGAAGCGGCAACAG
rnacentral:rRNA from 1 species